rnacentral:rRNA from 1 species
CGAGUUUGAUCCUGGCUCAGGAUGAACGCUAGCGGCAGGCUUAACACAUGCAAGUCGAGGGGCAGCACGUCUUCGGAUGGUGGCGACCGGCGCACGGGUGCGUAACGCGUAUAGAACCUACCUUUUACAGGGGAAUAGCCCAGAGAAAUUUGGAUUAAUGCCCCAUAGUAUUGUUGAAUGGCAUCAUUUAAUAAUUAAACAUUUAUGGGUAAAAGAUGGCUAUGCGUUCUAUUAGCUAGUAGGUAAGGUAACGGCUUACCUAGGCAACGAUAGAUAGGGGUCCUGAGAGGGAGAUCCCCCCACACUGGUACUGAGACACGGACCAGACUCCUACGGGAGGCAGCAGUGAGGAAUAUUGGACAGUGGGCGAGAGCCUGAUCCAGCCAUGCCGCGUGCAGGAAGACGGUCCUAUGGAUUGUAAACUGCUUUUAUACAGGAAGAAACACUCUCUCGUGAGGGGGCUUGACGGUACUGUAUGAAUAAGCACCGGCUAACUCCGUG